GGAAGGAUCAUUAUUGAAUGAACUUGGCAUGAUUGUAGCUGGUCCUUUCGAGGGCAUGUGCACAUCUGUCAUCUUUAUCUUUCCACCUGUGCACCAAUUGUAGGUCUAAAAAUUUUUCCCCGAGACACUCGGGGGAGCAUGGGGCGUUGCUGUGUGUUACCACCAGCUUGCCCUGCAUUUUCUAGAUCUAUGUUUUCACAUACACCAUAAAAUGUAAUAGAAUGUUAUUAUUGGCCUUUUAUUGCCUAUAAACUAUAUACAACUUUCAGCAACGGAUCUCUUGGCUCUCGCAUCGAUGAAGAACGCAGCGAAAUGCGAUAAGUAAUGUGAAUUGCAGAAUUCAGUGAAUCAUCGAAUCUUUGAACGCACCUUGCGCUCCUUGGUAUUCCGAGGAGCAUGCCUGUUUGAGUGUCAUUAAAUUCUCAACCUUAUCAGCUUUUGUUGAUAAUGGCUUGGAUGUGGGGGUUUAUUGCUGGCUUCUAACGAGGUUGGCUCCCCUUAAAUACAUUAGCUGGUUGCCUUGUGCAGACAUGUCUAUUGGUGUGAUAAUUAUCUACGCUGUGGACUUUCUGCCAGUAUUUAGCACCGCUUCUAACUGUCUGUUAACUUGGACAACAUAUGACAAUUUGACCUCAAAUCAGGUAGGACUACCCGCUGAACUUAA
rnacentral:rRNA from 1 species